GAAUGAGUGUGGUGCAGUGGUUUGAACAUUGGACUACAACUCUGAAAACCAAGGUUCGAAUCCUCUGUUCAUCCA